UGUGGUGGAUUCUGUUUGAUGGACUUUAUUUGCAAUCGGCGCUCAAUGUGUUUUCUUAUAUCGGUGGCGUCAAUGUUAGCCUCCCAUCCGACCCGUCUUGAAACACGGACCAAGGAGUUCAGUAGGCACGCGAGUCGUUGACGUUUUUCAUUGAACAGUCGAAGGCGAAAUGAAAGUGUUAAUGAAAAUGAACUGUACUUCUUUAUGGAGUGCUGUUCAAUUUUUCAACAUGAUCGUCCUUUUUUGUGCUUAAUUGUGCAAAAUAAUAGAUGUAUGGGGACGCGCAGUGUGGUGCCGUUGAAUAGUCGCACUGUUCUCUCUUUCUCUUCGGGGUUGGAGGAACAAUUGUCGAUCAGUCGGUUUCGGAGCGUGCACACUGGUACCCGAAAGAUGGUGAACUAUGCUUGAGCAGAAUGAAGCCAGAGGAAACUCUGGUGGAAGUUCGUAGCGGUGUUGACGUGCAAAUCACUCGUCUGACUUGAGUGUAGGGGCGAAAGACUAAUCGAACCAUCUAGUUGCUGGUUCCUUCCGAAGUUUCCCUCAGGAUAGCUGGCAUUUGUUUGUAACAAUUUUAUCCGGUAGAGCGAAUGAUUAGAGGUGUUGGGAACGCAAUGUUCUCAGCCUAUUCUCAAACUUCGAAUGGGUAAGCAAGGCGUUUUGCUUUGAUUUUACGAUGAAAUCGCCCAAUUAGAAUGUAUAAAUGCCUAGUGGGCCAAUUUUGGUAAGCAGAACUGGCGAUGUGGAAUGAACCAAAAGUCAGGUUAAGGUGCCAGACAUUGGCGCUCAUGAAUACCAGAAAAGGUGUUGGUCGAUAUAGACAGCAGACGGUGGCCAUGGAAGUUGGAAUCCGCCAAGGAGUGUGUAACAACUUCACCUGCCCGAAA
rnacentral:ncRNA from 1 species